CUAUCUCUUACAUAUGGGAAAUAAAAGUAAAGUUACCGAGCAGAAAGUAAAAUAAAAAAAAAAUCAUUACAUUAUAAAUUAUGUUGGCCGAUAAACAAGUACCAAAUUGUCCACCUGGGAAAAAUAUAUAUGAAUCCGAUGCUCCUGCUCUGAGUAACGCGAUAUGGAUAGCUCGUGUGCUUUUGCUAGAAACAAAAGUUAUUUGAAAAGUUGCGUUAAACAAUGUGUUUGAUAAGAGUGCCCAAUAGUCCUGGCUAAAAGGUUUCUGAUCUUAAUUUAAACAUUAUUCCCAUUGCACCGCCAGUAAGUAUACCGUGUCUCUGCCACUGGCGUUCCGAUCUAUAUUUUGGCAUUCAGCCAGCAUGAGAAAAUAAGGAAUCUAUGUACUAAUAACAACAAAAAUAUCAAGAAAUAGAAGAAAGUACUACUUCCACAACACUAACAGAGCAAACAUUACAAUGAGCAAGGAGAGAAAUCGCUGCUAACAAAGCGGCAAGCACCAACUAAGAAACUUUUUAAGUUUUCUUCAAAACAAACCGCAAAAAUGUUGGCCGCCAGUUCGCUGCAAUGCAAAUACAGAUAAAAGUGGACGGACAUUAAAACUAAAAAGAAAAAUAUUGGUUCAAAGUUGGAACAAUAAAAACUCUUUUACCCUUACGUCAUUUCAAUAUUGAUGUUUGUCGAUUUCUCUUUUUUUCUCACAUUUUUGACUUGUCUUUUCAUUUGUUUGACAUUUUGUUAUAUUCGCAUAAACUUUUCGUGCACUUUAUGAUUUUUGGCAAAAGUUUUGUCACCUGCAGCUUGUGAAUGUUUUUCUCCGACGCUCGCAAUUUUAUUCGUGAGAUUCUGUCAUUCAGUCAAAAUGCGAACCAUUUAAAUUAAAUUGGAGAGGCAGUUGUACAAAUGACUGCGUGCCAGCCCAGAUUAGCAUAUAAUUUAUAGCUUUUCAUUCAAACAUAAAUCACAACAAUUGACUGACCUGGCCGAAUGGGAGCAACAACAUAAGCUAGGGAGCUUGUGCAAGUUGGCAGAAAAUUCUGCUCAGUAACUCAGUCAGAAGGGCAAAGGCGUAGCAGCAGGUGGAACAAGGGAAGGAAGUGGAGACUGAGGCAACAAAGUCUAUUUUUCAAAGUGCAAUGCCAAGAAAUCGAACGGAUAUCGAAGAAAAUUUAUGUGCGUCUAUUUAGCUUUGAGCAGAGCACGAGCUAACAAAUAUUAAGUAUACGCAGUGUCAAGCCUGCCAAGCCAAGCGUGCAUGUGUGUGGGAGUGUGUGUGUAUGGGCAUGGGUGAGCGAGAAAGCAGCACAAUUAAAUUGGAUUUAUGUUGCGCGUUAUUGCAAAAUUUAGCUGAUGUGCAUAAAAAUACAAGUAGACAAAGAGGCGUACUCCUUGAGAGGCGAAAAAGUGACUGGAAUUAGAAAAAUUGCUAAAAUAUUUGAGUGCCUAAAAAUUGUACGUUGCUUGUCAUGUCCUCAACUAACGAUGAACGAGCAGCUGCUGACGCAGGGGCAAAAGUGAAUAGAAUGAGCAUAUUGAAAAUAAAAGUAAAAGUAAUAUAGGAGAUUAUUUUUGCAAGGGAAUGCCAAGGAAAUCGAAGUCAGCACGCCUAACCAGACAUAUUUUAUUGAGACUCACUGCCGCAGCAGCAGUAGCUACAAUAACAACUACAUGCUGAGGAGCAAAGCGCAGCAAUAAAAUAUUCAUGACCUCCACCAUGUAGACUUGUGUAUGUUGCUGGACCGUCCAAACUGAGAGCGAAUUGAAAAAUAUAUUAGCUGGAUUUGCCGUUAGGCUACUUAAAGAGGCGAAAGCUGAACAAGGUUUUGUUUAACUGUUUCCAAAAGUAGCAACAAAUUAAAAACACUUUGUUAACACAAAAAUGUAGAAGUGUAAAUUAGACUAUAAUAUAAGGUUGGUAAGAUUUAUCAUCUUAAGCUAUACUUUUGUGGCACAACUAA